rnacentral:rRNA from 1 species
UACGGGGGGGGCAAGCGUUGUUCGGAAUUACUGGGCGUAAAGGGAGUCUAGGCGGUUUGGUAAGUGGGAUGUGAAAUCCCCGGGCUCACCCCGGGACCUGCAUCCCAAACUGCUGAGCUUGAGUACAGGAGAGGGUGGGGGAAUUCCAGGUGUAGCGGUGAAAUGCGUAGAUAUCUGGAGGAACACCGGUGGCGAAGGCGCCCACCUGGCCUGCUACUGACACUGAGGAACGAAAGCCAGGGGAGCAAACGGG